UCUCUCUUUAGUUCUUAAGCUAUCACUUGCCCAAAUACCUUUGACUAUGUUCAUAAAUUUAUAUAUUUUGUUUGUGUUCAUAUUUUUGAUUGAAAGGUGAAUCUUGGGUUUGUGUUUUCCUAUCAAAUUGAGAUAGAUCUCUACUUCCUUAGUAUUUUUGUAAUCUUCUGACAAUGGCUCUCCCUCCUCUCAUACAAAUGGAUAGUGAGUAGGCAAUUUUUACAUUUGAGUAUAAUACUAUUGGAUACUUACAAUAUUGCACAUUCUAAGUCUAAUAGAAAUUCUAACUCUCCCAUAUACCAAUUUUAUUGUUUAUUUAUUUUGUUAUUAAACUGUUCAUCUUUCUUACAAAUAAACAAUAUUGGAUGUGAUAUUGAUAGUUUGCUAUUUUAGUAAAGCACUGAUUCAUGGCUUUCAUAUGUAUGUUGCAUUCUAAUUAUUGGAUGAAAUCUUAAAUAAUUGUUGAUGCAUUUGCAUCACUUGGAUUGAAGGUUCAAAAAAGGUACAUUUUCAAGGUAUGACUUCUUUAGGUAUAUAUUUUAAAUUUUUGAGAAGAUAAUCAUAUUGACAGAUUAAUAAGGAUAUAUUAGUAAGUGCAUCUUUCCAUAGAGAAUGUAUAUUGAAAGUUUCAAGGAGGCUGAAAAUAAUGAUAUAUGAAUCAUUACAAUUCCAUUAGUCAAAUUGUGUUUACAAAUCAUUACAUUUCCAGGUGUUUAAGGAAAUUAUGAUCUAUGUUCAAUUGAGAUGAAGAUUACAAAUAAAUUGAGCAGCCCAUUUUAAAAAGAUGGCCAACACAUAUUUGCUUUUGAUAAUAAUCUCUCCCCCUUUGCAGGUUUAAUUUUUUUGUUUGUUGAGAAACCUCCCCCUUUGCAGUUGGUUGGCCAAUCAUUAAUUCUAUUAAUGAUUGGAUUUAGAAUGUCAGUGCAUUUGCAUCAAGUAGAAUUCAUGUAUGUAAUUUCAGCCAAUCUGAUGUAGAUAUGGGAAUAAGGAAAAAGUAUACCACUAAUGCUUGGGAAGCCUAAGUAUACCACUGAUAAUAUAGCAGUCCUAUAGGUAAGUGCUCUGCUUAUAAUCCUUUUGGAGAUUACUUUAUGGGGAUAUUUAGAUUUUCUUAAGAAUUUUGAUUCAUGGGAACUGUUUUUGUUAAGGUGGUGAUG